rnacentral:tRNA from 1 species
ACCUGAGUGGCUGAGUCAGUUAAGCCUCUGACUUCAGCUCAGGUUGUGGUCUUGCCGUUUGUGGGUUCGAGCCCCACAUUGGGCU